CUUCUUGAAUUUAUAUGAAGUCGGGCCUGUCCACUGAAAUUAUUUAAGGACCGCGGUAUUUUGACCGUGCAAAGGUAGCAUAAUCAUUAGUCUCUUAAUUGGGGGCUGGAAUGAAUGGUUUGACGAAAUAACAACUGUCUCUAAUAUAAUUAGGUUGAAUUUUACUUUUGAGUUAAAAGGCUUAAAUAAAAAUGAGGGACGAGAAGACCCUAUAGAUCUUUAUAAUAUAAUUUAUAUUAUUAAUUAUGGUUGUUGUUAUUAUUUUAUGAAUUAUAUUAUUUUAUUGGGGUGAUAUGAGAAUUUUAUAACUUCUUAAUUUUUGACUUUAAUAAAUGGUUAUUUGAUCCUUUAAUAUGGAAUUAAGAUUAAGAUACCUUAGGGAUAACAGCGUAAUUUUAUUGAAGAGUUCUUAUUGAUAAUGAGGAUUGCGACCUCGAUGUUGGAUUAAGAAUAUAUAUUGGUGUAGGUGCUAGUAUUAUUAGUCUGUUC
rnacentral:rRNA from 1 species